UCCCUGGUAGUAUAUCGGUUAGUACACGCGCCUGUCAUGUAUCUAAUACGCGCGAAAGCUGGGUUCGACUCCCAGCCAGGGAG